ensembl:lincRNA
CGGGCCCCAGGGUUCCCCCCCCACGCCACCCCCAAGUGCCCAGCCUGCCCCGUGUUCCCCCGCCGGCGCAGGUGACAGGCUGCUGAGACAGUUCUGAUUCAGCGACAGCUGUGCCAGCUACUCGGACGCGGGGUGGGCGCCUCGUGAGCCGCCUCGCCCUCCCGCAGUCGGGGCGUGGGCUGGGGGGUCGGGAAAGGCGAGCGGAGUGGGUGACAGCCGGGAAGUGCGUGUUUGCUCCUCGCUCGCUCCCUCCCACUCCCAGUUGCGUUUCCACACAUACAGCUUCCCACGGGGGACCGGAGGCGGCUGGUGUUCUCUGAACGCAGGGAACUGGCUCUCUCUGUGGUGUGCUGUUUACUUCCCUCCGCUUCUCCCCCUCUGUCCUCUCCACCUCAGCACCCCAGGCAGCCUCCCGCGGAGCAGCUGGGAAACCUGCUGCAAAACACUGCAAUCAUGGGACUUCCUGGACCCGAGCUGUGCCCCAGGCUUGCUCUGUCCUGCCCUGCCCUGGGGCCACUUGGGGCGUGCCUAGGCCCUGGAGAGGAAGGCCCUCGGGCCUCCCUGCAUCCUUCACUCUUCUCCCUGCCCCUCCCCCCGCCCCCUAACCGUCCUGCGGAGGCGCUGCCCGACUGCCUUUUCUGCCUUUUUGGCCGGGCUUCUGGGCCUCCUCCGUGUGUGGCCACCUGUCCGGGGAGAGGCUUUAAUCCCCCAGCUGAUCUGAAGAACCUGCCAUCGCCUGUGCCACCCCUCCUUGUCACUGUCAUCUGUGGGCUCUGUGCCUCCUCCUCAUGCCUCUGGUUCCAACACCUGACUCAGCCUCAACCCCCACCCGGCUGCUGUGAACAUUUUUUUGGUGAGCUUGGCUUCCUCAGAGACUCAUGACCCCUGUGCCUCAAGGACAGCCUUACCCCUCUACCCUGCUGUCCCGUGGGUGUCCUAGACCUUUUUGUAACCAAAAGACAGUGACACCUCUGCCCUCUUCAUUUCUACUCCUACUUCCAGGCCCACACUUCUUUCUUUUCCAGCUUAUUUGCUCUAAUAACCACAUUUGAGCAAUUAUUUGACUCUAUUUGACCUCCGCUCUCCGCAGGAUUUAUCCUUGUCCUUCUUACAUUCCUUUUACUCAGCUUAAGUUUCAUGUGCUGUCACUGCACCCUUCCUUUGUACACGUCCCUCACUUGCUGUUUCCUAGGACCACAGCCUAGCACACUGGACAAAAACAGCAAGGCUAAUUGUUGUCACUCAAAAUUUGGGGUCACAAAUCUCAGCUGGGCUCUUCACACUGCCCUUGGGCAUUUCCCUAGUCAGUUUACUUUCCCACAGUCUGAAAAAAUCAUUGCACCUUCUGUCCUCAAAGAGACAACACUCCUCCCCUUCCUCACCCUGAGUUGAGAACCUUGCUCCUUUUUUCACUGAGAAAAUAAAAACAGUUUGACAAAAGUGACUUCAUCUUCCACCCUGCCAGCCUCUCUGCUGGGACCCUGCCUUCCCUCCUGUUGCAGGACUACAGAAGGCAGACCCACCCACUUGGCACCAGGAUCUCGUCCCCUCAGGACUGUUGCUACCUUUGGAGAUAAUGUGAGUGUCCCUGAGGCCUCCUGUGCUGAAAUUUAAUCCCUGUUGUGAGAUAGAAAAAGGGUAGAAACUCUUAACUGCAGUGUUUAGAGAAAGGGCUUUGGAAAGUGGUUGGCCUUAGAUAAGGUCACUCUGGUACGGCCGCCACUGGAUAGAUCCUGGCGGCUUUCGAAGCAGAGAGAGAGACACAGACAGACUCACAGACAUGUGCACUCC